ensembl:lncRNA
CGCUGUGACCCCGGCCCAGCGCAGCUCCCGGCUCUGCCCCUCCGCAGUGUCCUGGUUUUGACCCUAAAUCCACUCAGUGAGUGUCUUCAACAGAGAACUCAAGAGGCAGGAAAUAGAGAUGCUCCAUCUCUGCUCUUGCUGUCACUAGUCUCCUGACAGCCCACGUUGGGUAACCUGUUAUUCUGCAGCCCCUAAAGGAAAGCUGUAUCCAUGACUGACCCCUCAGCUUGCUAAGUGUGUCAUCCCUGUGAUCACUGACGGAUCUUGGAGCACGCAGGAUUGUAAGAAAGGAAAAAGGGAGCUAUUGCGAGAUUGGAGUGUGAAGAACUUUGCAUCAACUUUUUGAAGAAUGAAAAUUUUCCCAGAGAUCAGCCCAGCUCAGGAAAGAUUGCCUCAAACAGAAGUGAGUAGGGGAUGAUGGGAAACUCCUGGCUAUUCCACCCCCAAACUCCUGUCAAGAUUCAGUCUUGGGAACAGAGGACUCCAUUCUGCAGCAUCUGAGGAGGUGCAUUCCUGUCCCCCUCAGCAGGACUUGUGCUGCUGUGCCUAGCCAUCUGUUGGAGCUGUACCACUCUUCCCCAGGAUACUCAUCCCUGAAGGCUGCCCUGUGGAGAAUUAGCUAGGAAAUAGGAGAAGCUACCCAUCACAGGAAAAAAAAUCCUCAGAAAGUGGUGGGAAAACUGGAGGAUAAUAGCAGCUUCUAUUACCAAGUACAAUGGAAGUUCCUGUACAAAUACUCUACGGCAAUGGGAAUGGGAAGAAGGAAAGAGAACAGUAAAAGUGAAUUCUAACCUCUGAUGCCAGGAAAUGACUCAAUAAAUCAACAGUACUUUGAUCUGCAGAAUUAUGGGAUUUCUCUUCACGAUAAGGAAAAAAUCCAGACAGACCUCUUCAGUGUCUAUAAAAGUCUGUAAAUGACCACAGUCUGCAGUUGGAAAAGCCUGAUGACUGGCAAGAGACCCAGUGAGGACUGAAUAAUCAAGCUGUGCUAUUAAAAGGUUGUAUCUUCAUAAAGACCUGCAUUUAUGAAGAUUCAGCGUGCCUGCAAUACUUUGGAUGAAGAAGGGUGGGUUGACAUGCCUGAUGAGACUGGAGUGGAUUCAGAAAGGCAGAGCUAUAUCCUCAAAAAUUCACAGUUCCAGGCACCUGUCUGGAAGAGAAGAACUACAUUCCCCAGAAGACUGUUUGCUGUUCUGCUAUCAUUCCUGCUCAGGGGGAACACAUAUAAGGCCUUGUGGCAGUAAUGGUAGCUGAGGUGAGGACCUGCCCCUCUCUAUGUCAAUGGAUGCUCUUUGUGAUUCUUCAUCCCAGCGAUUUGACAUCCUGUGAGUUACAUCCCAGUGAGGGAUGGAAAUUAAGUGGAAGCAACAAACACAGGAGUUCAUAUGGAUGCUAACAUUCCUUCUUUUACCAUUGUUCUAAUCCACAGACUCUAAAACAAAACACAAUUAUGCAGUAUCUGUUUGGCAAGCAAAUUCUAUUUCCUUAUGACCAGAAUAAGUACUGGCUUACCUCUCUGUUGUCUACUUGGUAAUUACAACCUGCCUUCUCCAGGUCAACCUGUUGGGGGUGAAAUUCUAAAAGUUUUCUUCCUUCUUCAGCCUCAAACUUUUUUUAAAAAAAAUUUUCCUCCCCUGCAGUCAAAAAGACCCGUGUGUACACUGUGGGAGAAGUGCUUACAGGCAAAACUUGUCUUCACUUGGAAAAGUCUUUACCAACCAUUUUUAACAUUUAAAAAUACUUUUUUGUGUUCUUUACUAUGUUAGUCCUCAUAACUCCCUGUAAAAAAUAAUUAUAGAAAAAAAUAAAAAAAAUUGAAAUAUCUACAUUCUCAACAAAAAUUGAUAUCUUUUGAUUUCUCAUGAUGAUGUAUUUUGCUAGAAUACUUCUGAAGGACUUGGUAAUGCAUCCAUAUUAUCCACAUUGUCUCACUGUUUCCUUAUGACAUGUCAGCUUUAUGUUUUCACUCAUUCUUUCAUAUUGUACUAGGCCCAUAAAUUUUCUGAAGCAUGAAUUGUCUUUCCGUUCUGUGUCUGUAAAAUGCGUAACCAUAGGUUUGUGGGCAACAAAUGUUGUACAGAUAUGAUAAUAGUGAUGGGAGCAGCAAAAAACAAAAAAACAACAAAAAAAACGAUCUUAGAUGUGGUGAUUUUGGAGCUGGUUCUAGGUCAUGCUGCUAAUUAUGCUGCUGACAGAUAGGUAAAGAAUAAGAGUUGCUAACCACACGUAUAAACAGGAACAGCACUUUUGCAGCUGGAAUCUAUACACUGGAUGUUUCUGUAGCAAGUCAGAAUCUGAUGAGGGUAUUUUUGUCUAUGAGGAAAGAGUGGUGAGAUUCCUCAGCAAGUGGUAAUAUUGGUGCUGAAGUGAUAGACUUUUGAUUGGCAGUGAAGAUGUCAAGAAAUUUUCCAUUUCUAGGUGCUUUCAUGAUGUACAGCUAAAUGGAACUGCAUAUGAAGCUAUGAUCAUUAAACACAUAAUAGACACAUUAUCUUGCUAGGUCUUGCUAGAAAAACAGCAGGAUGAUGAACAAUGUAUUGAAUUUCAUUAGAAUAAAAAUUGUUUAGGGGCCACCAUACCAUAUAGCAUUCCUUCAGUGAUAUGACUGCACCUGAUUAAAGUAGUCUUGAUUGCUUGAAUGUGAGAGUAGGGGACUGUUGGAUUAUUGUAGUCUUUUUGCAUGAGAUAAAAAGAGAUUAUUUAUCUUUGAAAUUAUCCAAAAUUCAUUAAUAAUGUACUUUAAAAUAUUAUUCUUAAAAAUGUUGUCAUUUUUAAAAUAUUCUUCAAAUGUUGUCAUUCACAGUGGUAAAUCCAUGUUCUUAGUGUACCC